rnacentral:lncRNA from 1 species
AACCAGCAGCACCCAGUGGCCAGCAGCGUACUCUUUCACCUCUUCUUGGGUGACUUUGUGGAAUGCUCCAAUGUGACAUCUCCCUGUGAACGCCUUUCCUGACACCCUAAAAAGUGUCAGGAAUUUCCAGCAAGUUCCAGAGAGCAGGUUUCCAGCAAGUUUGGUCAGUAUGACACCACAGCGAUAUCUCUGCCAUUCACUGAACUUGGAUUCUUCCUUCUUCAGUGAGAGAUGUUCAAGAAAAAGAACAACUUCAGUGGAAGAAGAAGAAGAUAGGAGCCCAGGUCCUGUGUUUCACCAAGACAGCCGUGCAAAGCAGAUGCUGCCAAAAAGGUGCAAAGUGGUUUGUCAGCUCUUCUGCAUGUUCUAACAAAUUAGACAUGCAUCCCAAAAGGUUUCCUAGACUUUCCAUCACCACCAGUGAAUUCUGAGUGACAAUAGUGUGGAAUUUGGAAGAAUGGAAGAGAAACUGAAGUGGAGAGAUGGUGAAAGAGAAGAAAAAAUGAAGAAAGAUGCUUGCAAAAAUACUGCUGUGGGUCCUGAGAUGAGGAUUCUGGGAGGGCUGAAAUGGAUGCCCCUGACAGCUCCCUUUGAGUUCCUGUUCAUCUGAAGUACACCAGCUUUCUAGAUAUGCUGUCACUUUCCUUCUGCAGAGCCACAGUGGUGUCCUGUCUUCUCAGACCUCUUCUCACCUCAAAUCACUUAGGACUCGGCCACCAGACAGAUUUGGGAUUUCAGAACUUUUCAGAUGUUAGAAAGUUCUUUUCUAAAUGUGAUGAGGAAUUACGGAAUCAUAAAAUGGAAGCAGAGUUAAACUCAGACAUGUGGGCACUCAAGGCAAUUAGGAGCUUUCUGCGAUGAGAAAGGGAUCAGACUGAUCCUUAAGACUUUAUGCAACCCCAGAGUAUUGCAGCCACCUGCAUGCCGAAGGUGUCAAGAGUGUUCUCACUGCUGCCUAUAGGAGGGUCUUCAGCCUCCAGUGAUCCAAAGUACCAGGCUGACCUGUGACUGCUUCGGCCAACUGAAUAGGGAAGAGUGAUGCUGUGCUGUUUCCAGGCCUGUUCUUUAAAAGUACUUGGAAGCUUCUGCCUUGGCCUCUUUGUGCCUGAGUUGCUGUAUAAGAAUCUGACUACCUUGCUGGAGAGACCUUGUGGAGAAGACUUGACCUUAUAUGCAGAGGUAGAGGGGCCCUGGUUAGUCCAGCCAUCUAGCCAUCCUGUCAAAAUAGCAGGAGUAUGAUGGCCAAUGGAUCCAAAACCUAUCCUAUAUCUACAUGUUGGUGGCCACAUUAAUCUGACAUCUGACAGCAAGAGCGAUGAUUGGGUUCACUGGAAAUCUUUGUGAAGUACGAGUGAAGUCCUUGUGAAGUCAGAGUUUCCUCUUCAUGCCUCUACUCCUAUGCAGUUUGACCUCUCAGUGUGCAGCUGGUGAUAGAUGGAAACCCUUGUUCAUAAGCUUUGUGGCACUGUCGGCAGGAUGAGGGGACUUCUGGAUCCUCACUGGUCACUGUGGCAGAGUGGUUGGUGUUGUCUGCUCCCUAGACAGGAACCCACUGAAGAAUCUGACAUUUUUUGAUAUGCUGGCAUUCAUUGUUACAGCCCAUCAUCCCAGCCAUCAAUCCAGGACAUGGGGUCUGUGCCCACGGUGGGAAGGAGGAGGGGGAAGCUGGCUUUGUUCUGACGUUGGGCUUCUUCUGCUCCACCAGUACUUUCUGUGGGGGAAAUAGGUAAAGAAAUGGCUGUUCAGAUGAGAAGAUGUGUCAGUAAACUUUUGCUACAGUGAUGCUGCAAAACAAAUCACUGGUGACUUUCAGUGGCACACAGCAAUAAACAUUUAUUUAGCUCAGGGAUUGACAAUCUUUUUUUUUUUUUAAAGGGCCAAAUAGUAAAUAUUUUAGGUGUUUCAGGCCAUACAGUCUCUGAACUCUGAACUUGUAGCACAACAGUAGCCUUAGAUGCUAUGCAAAUGGAGGAGCAUGACUGUGUUCCAAUAAAACUUUAUUUAUGGACACU